rnacentral:rRNA from 1 species
UGGCUCAGGACGAACGCUGGCGGCGUGCCUUACACAUGCAAGUCGUGCGGGGAAGAUUUCCUGUGGCAACACAGGGGUCUUCUUAGCGGCAAACGGGUGAGUAAUGGAUGAGUAACCUGCCCUGUAGAUGGGAUAGCCAUCCGAAAGGAUGGGUAAUACCCAAUAAUGUUGGAGGACUUCGGUUCUCCAAAGAAAGGUGGCGCAAGCUACCGCUUCAGGAUGGGCUCAUCUCCUAUCAGCUAGUUGGUGAGGUAAUGGCUCACCAAGGCUAUGACGGGUAGCUGGCCUGAGAGGGUGGUCAGCCACAUUGGGACUGAGACACGGCCCAGACUCCUACGGGAGGCAGCAGUGGGGAAUCUUGGUCAAUGGGCGAAAGCCUGAACCAGCGACGCCGCGUGGAGGACGAAGGCCGAAAGGUCGUAAACUCCUUUUGCAAGGGAAAAAGGGAAGGGUUCGAAUAGGACCCCAUCCUUGAUUGUACCUUGCGAAUAAGCCCCAGCCAACUACGUGCCAGCAGCUGCGGUAAAACGUAGGGGGCGAGCGUUAUCCGGAAUCACUGGGUGUAAAGGGUACGCAGGCGGAUUUG